rnacentral:lncRNA from 1 species
UAUCUUAUUAUCCUGAAAUUUACUAACAGGAAAGUAAAGGAUUAUUAUUUUGUUGGUGAAAUGGAUAGCUCCAAUACCCUGACACAGUGUAAGAAAAAGUGUGGGAAAAAAUAAAUGUAUAUAAUAUGUUGGUUUUGUUUGUUUAUAGUUUUGAUGGUAAUAACUUGCUUUGUUUUUUAGUUUCAAGUUAAUCAACUCAAGGAAUUAAGUAUUUUUAAA